rnacentral:misc_RNA from 1 species
UUGUGGAGGAGGACGCCGAAGGUGGGGCUAAUGACUGGGGUGAAGUCGUAACAAGGUAGCCGUACCGGAAGGUGCGGCUGGAUCACCUCCUAACAGGGAGACAACAAAAUGUUUAAUAUUAUUAUUUUGUCACCUUAGGUCGAUCGGUAUCUCACGUUCUUAAUUUAUUAAGAAUUUCAUUUCCUAAGUUUUUCUAGGUCACACCCAUUAUUUUUCCUGGGCCAUUAGCUCAGGUGGUUAGAGCGCACCCCUGAUAAGGGUGAGGUCCCUGGUUCAAGUCCAGGAUGGCCCAUAUCUCUAUGUUGGGGGUAUAGCUCAGUUGGUAGAGCGCCUGCUUUGCAAGCAGGAUGUCAGCGGUUCGAGUCCGCUUACCUCCACUGAUUACCACCUCUACCAUAAUCUGUAGAAAGGAAAUGUUUUGAGUUGUGAUCAAAUUCUGAACGAAUCUAGCUUCCUAAUGAAAUCAUUAAGAUGCUGGACUCAUUGAAUUAAUUUCAUUGUUUUCAGAGAACCUUGACAACUGCAUAGAUUAUUUUUAAAGACAAUAAGCAUCUUUAUUGAUGCAGAUUUAUUAUUUGUGCUAAUGCAUUAAUAACAAUUCUAUUAAGCUGAUGCUUCAAUUUUGAAGUUAUUGGUCAAGCUACAA